UAGCAACCUCUAUGGCGGUGGGAGCUGGUGGAGCUCACAGCUGACGGUGCAGAGAUGACUGACGUUUUUGGGCGACCACGAGCGCUAAGGAGAGAGAGUAACAGACUCGAGAGAGGAGAAUGAAAGAGAAAUGGAGGGAACGUGCAAGAUGAGAGCAACGUGACAUCAGGCGGCAUCAGGAACGUGGUGGGGACAUCAUUAUGGUUGUCCAGCCAGCGCAUCAGCAGUAUCUGAUGCCGUCAUCUCUGAAUCUAUUAACCAAAAGUAAAGGCAGUUGUGAAGAUUUAAAAAAAAAUAAAAAAGGAGCCGACCCGGUACUAGAAAGAUGUUCUCAAUAAAGUGAAUGUAAAGUGUAUAUUGUGAAAGGGUUUUGUUUCAUCACCUGCAGAUGCUCAAACAAAAGCACUGACCUUGACUAAAAAAUAAAAGA